AAGGCUCUAGCUUAAUUAAAGUACCUGAGUUGCAUUUAGGAGAUGCAGGGUAGUAUCCUGCGAGUUUUA
rnacentral:tRNA from 1 species